rnacentral:rRNA from 1 species
UGGGGAAUUUUGGACAAUGGGCGCAAGCCUGAUCCAGCCAUGCCGCGUGCGGGAGGAAGGCCUUCGGGUUGUAAACCGCUUUUGUCAGGGAAGAAAUCCUUUGAGCUAAUACCUCGGGGGAUGACGGUACCUGAAGAAUAAGCACCGGCUAACUACGUGCCAGCAGCCGCGGUAAUACGUAGGGUGCAAGCGUUAAUCGGAAUUACUGGGCGUACAGCGUGCGCAGGCGGUGAUGUAAGACAGGUGUGAAAUCCCCGGGCUUAACCUGGGAAUUGCAUUUGUGACUGCAUCGCUGGAGUGCGGCAGAGGGGUAUGGAAUUCCGCGUGUAGCAGUGAAAUGCGUAGAUAUGCUGAGGAACACCGAUGGCGAAGGCAAUCCCCUGGGCCUGUACUGACGCUCAUGCACGAAAGCGUGGGGAGCAAACA